GACUACCCGGGUAUCUAAUCCUGUUCGCUCCCCACGCUUUCGCGCAUCAACGUCAGUUACGGCCCAGUAAGUCGCCUUCGCCACUGGUGUUCCUCCCAAUCUCUACGCAUUUCACCGCUACACUGGGAAUUCCACUUACCUCUUCCGCACUCAAGCCAUCCAGUCUCCAAAGCAAUUCCCACCUUGAAAGCAGGACUUUCACUCCAGACUUAGACAGCCGUCUACGCGCCCUUUACGCCCAGUCAUUCCGGACAACGCUCGCCCCCUACGUAUUACCGCGGCUGCUGGCACGUAGUUAGCCGGGGCUUCCUCCUCAGGUACCGUCACUUUCUUCUUCCCUGAGGACAGAAGUUUACAAUCCGAAAACCUUCUUCCUUCACGCGGCGUUGCUGGGUCAGGCUUUCGCCCAUUGCCCAAUAUUCCCCACUGCAGCCCCCCGUAGG
rnacentral:rRNA from 1 species